CAGAGAAAUUGCCCUUUGGGGUAGAUCUCCCACCCUAUGUUUACAUUACCUUUGUUGCUUUGGCAGGCCCGUCUUUUGACCACUGGCUUCGGCUGGUCAGUGUCUGCCAGAGGACCCCUAAACUCUUGAUAUUUUGUUGUCUGAGUAAAUACAUAAUAUUUA
rnacentral:misc_RNA from 1 species